UGGGGUGUAGCUCAGUGGUAAAGUGCAUGCUUAGCAUGCAUGGGGCCCUGGGUUCCAUUCCCAGAACCCAAA
rnacentral:tRNA from 1 species